GCCCCCAUAACUCAAUGGUAGAGUAGCGGACUCUUAAUCCUUAAAUCCAGGUCCAAAUCCUGGUGGGGGCACCA
rnacentral:tRNA from 1 species